rnacentral:lncRNA from 1 species
GAACAACUUAAAGCCUGAUCCCAGGGAGUUGCCCGAAAGGUGAUUUGAGUAAUUUAUUGAAUGGAAAGAACAAAUUACCUAUUGAGGCGGUGGGCAGCGUCUGGAAAUGAUAUUAGGACUUCAGCAAAGUGCACAGCUGCAUGACACAGAAGCCGGGACUCAGAUUGACAGGCAAAUAAGCCAGCUCGUGCAAGGGGCCUCUGGGUGGCAGCUCUGGGCUAUUGGGUGUUGGACAACUGUAGGCAAAACAGAAAUGGAACAGGGGCAGAAAAUAGCACACUUUUACGCUACGCAACUGUGGCUUUCGCAUGGUUAUUGAUCAUUAAAAUGGCAUUGUAAAGAGAGGACUCAGAAAUAACAGUAAGUCUUAACCAUUUGAAAGACAUAUCAUUUAAUGUUGAACUAAAGCACAUGGCAGCAUAUUUGGCAAUUUUUUCCCUUCUAAUUUUGUACACUGGUAUAGGGCAUAGAAUGUGAGCAAAAACCCUUAGACCUCAAAGUAUAUUUUUAUGUGAAGCCAAAAUAUUUUUAACUAACUCUGCUAGUCAAUAAUUUUUGGAUUUGGCACUCUGUAGUAUAGUCCUAUUUUUGCAAAAAGUCAACAAAGUAUUUCCCUUCUAAUUCAAUAUCCU